GGGUUGUGAGGUUAAGCGACUAAGCGUACACGGUGGAUGCCCUGGCAGUCAGAGGCGAUGAAGGACGUGCUAAUCUGCGAUAAGCGUCGGUAAGGUGAUAUGAACCGUUAUAACCGGCGAUUUCCGAAUGGGGAAACCCAGUGUGAUUCGUCACACUAUCAUUAACUGAAUCCAUAGGUUAAUGAGGCGAACCGGGGGAACUGAAACAUCUAAGUACCCCGAGGAAAAGAAAUCAACCGAGAUUCCCCCAGUAGCGGCGAGCGAACGGGGAGGAGCCCAGAGCCUGAAUCAGUGUGUGUGUUAGUGGAAGCGUCUGGAAAGGCGCGCGAUACAGGGUGACAGCCCCGUACACAAAAAUGCACAUGCUGUGAGCUCGAUGAGUAGGGCGGGACACGUGGUAUCCUGUCUGAAUAUGGGGGGACCAUCCUCCAAGGCUAAAUACUCCUGACUGACCGAUAGUGAACCAGUACCGUGAGGGAAAGGCGAAAAGAACCCCGGCGAGGGGAGUGAAAAAGAACCUGAAACCGUGUACGUACAAGCAGUGGGAGCCUCUUUUAUGGGGUGACUGCGUACCUUUUGUAUAAUGGGUCAGCGACUUAUAUUCUGUAGCAAGGUUAACCGAAUAGGGGAGCCGAAGGGAAACCGAGUCUUAACUGGGCGUUAAGUUGCAGGGUAUAGACCCGAAACCCGGUGAUCUAGCCAUGGGCAGGUUGAAGGUUGGGUAACACUAACUGGAGGACCGAACCGACUAAUGUUGAAAAAUUAGCGGAUGACUUGUGGCUGGGGGUGAAAGGCCAAUCAAACCGGGAGAUAGCUGGUUCUCCCCGAAAGCUAUUUAGGUAGCGCCUCGUGAAUUCAUCUCCGGGGGUAGAGCACUGUUUCGGCAAGGGGGUCAUCCCGACUUACCAACCCGAUGCAAACUGCGAAUACCGGAGAAUGUUAUCACGGGAGACACACGGCGGGUGCUAACGUCCGUCGUGAAGAGGGAAACAACCCAGACCGCCAGCUAAGGUCCCAAAGUCAUGGUUAAGUGGGAAACGAUGUGGGAAGGCCCAGACAGCCAGGAUGUUGGCUUAGAAGCAGCCAUCAUUUAAAGAAAGCGUAAUAGCUCACUGGUCGAGUCGGCCUGCGCGGAAGAUGUAACGGGGCUAAACCAUGCACCGAAGCUGCGGCAGCGACACUAUGUGUUGUUGGGUAGGGGAGCGUUCUGUAAGCCUGUGAAGGUGUGCUGUGAGGCAUGCUGGAGGUAUCAGAAGUGCGAAUGCUGACAUAAGUAACGAUAAAGCGGGUGAAAAGCCCGCUCGCCGGAAGACCAAGGGUUCCUGUCCAACGUUAAUCGGGGCAGGGUGAGUCGACCCCUAAGGCGAGGCCGAAAGGCGUAGUCGAUGGGAAACAGGUUAAUAUUCCUGUACUUGGUGUUACUGCGAAGGGGGGACGGAGAAGGCUAUGUUGGCCGGGCGACGGUUGUCCCGGUUUAAGCGUGUAGGCUGGUUUUCCAGGCAAAUCCGGAAAAUCAAGGCUGAGGCGUGAUGACGAGGCACUACGGUGCUGAAGCAACAAAUGCCCUGCUUCCAGGAAAAGCCUCUAAGCAUCAGGUAACAUCAAAUCGUACCCCAAACCGACACAGGUGGUCAGGUAGAGAAUACCAAGGCGCUUGAGAGAACUCGGGUGAAGGAACUAGGCAAAAUGGUGCCGUAACUUCGGGAGAAGGCACGCUGAUAUGUAGGUGAAGUCCCUCGCGGAUGGAGCUGAAAUCAGUCGAAGAUACCAGCUGGCUGCAACUGUUUAUUAAAAACACAGCACUGUGCAAACACGAAAGUGGACGUAUACGGUGUGACGCCUGCCCGGUGCCGGAAGGUUAAUUGAUGGGGUCAGCGCAAGCGAAGCUCUUGAUCGAAGCCCCGGUAAACGGCGGCCGUAACUAUAACGGUCCUAAGGUAGCGAAAUUCCUUGUCGGGUAAGUUCCGACCUGCACGAAUGGCGUAAUGAUGGCCAGGCUGUCUCCACCCGAGACUCAGUGAAAUUGAACUCGCUGUGAAGAUGCAGUGUACCCGCGGCAAGACGGAAAGACCCCGUGAACCUUUACUAUAGCUUGACACUGAACAUUGAGCCUUGAUGUGUAGGAUAGGUGGGAGGCUUUGAAGUGUGGACGCCAGUCUGCAUGGAGCCGACCUUGAAAUACCACCCUUUAAUGUUUGAUGUUCUAACGUUGACCCGUGAUCCGGGUUGCGGACAGUGUCUGGUGGGUAGUUUGACUGGGGCGGUCUCCUCCUAAAGAGUAACGGAGGAGCACGAAGGUUGGCUAAUCCUGGUCGGACAUCAGGAGGUUAGUGCAAUGGCAUAAGCCAGCUUGACUGCGAGCGUGACGGCGCGAGCAGGUGCGAAAGCAGGUCAUAGUGAUCCGGUGGUUCUGAAUGGAAGGGCCAUCGCUCAACGGAUAAAAGGUACUCCGGGGAUAACAGGCUGAUACCGCCCAAGAGUUCAUAUCGACGGCGGUGUUUGGCACCUCGAUGUCGGCUCAUCACAUCCUGGGGCUGAAGUAGGUCCCAAGGGUAUGGCUGUUCGCCAUUUAAAGUGGUACGCGAGCUGGGUUUAGAACGUCGUGAGACAGUUCGGUCCCUAUCUGCCGUGGGCGCUGGAGAACUGAGGGGGGGCUGCUCCUAGUACGAGAGGACCGGAGUGGACGCAUCACUGGUGUUCGGGUUGUCAUGCCAAUGGCACUGCCCGGUAGCUAAAUGCGGAAGAGAUAAGUGCUGAAAGCAUCUAAGCACGAAACUUGCCCCGAGAUGAGUUCUCCCUGACCCUUUAAGGGUCCUGAAGGAACGUUGAAGACGACGACGUUGAUAGGCCGGGUGUGUAAGCGCAGCGAUGCGUUGAGCUAACCGGUACUAAUGAACCGUGAGGCUUAACCUUACAACGCCGAAG
rnacentral:rRNA from 1 species